UACAGAGGGGGCAAGCGUUGUUCGGAAUUACUGGGCGUAAAGGGCGCGUAGGCGGCCUUCUAAGUCGAACGUGAAAUCCCCGGGCUCAACCCGGGAACUGCGUCCGAUACUGGAAGGCUUGAAUCCGGGAGAGGGAUGCGGAAUUCCAGGGUGUAGCGGUGAAAUGCGUAGAUAUCUGGAGGAACACCGGUGGCGAAGGCGGCGUUCUCGGGAGCCAAUACUGACGCUGAGGAGCGAAAAGCCAGGGGAGCAAACGGGGAUUAAGAAAACCC
rnacentral:rRNA from 1 species